GCGCCCAUAGCUCAGCUGGAUAGAGCACUGGUCUACGGAACCAGUUGUCGGAAGUUCGAAUCUUCCUGGGCGCGCCA
rnacentral:tRNA from 1 species